GAUGAACGCUGGCGGCAGGCUUAAUACAUGCAAGUCGUGGGGCAGCAUGACUGUAGCAGUACAGUUGAUGGCGACCGGCAAACGGGUGCGGAACACGUACACAACCUUCCUUUAAGUGGGGAAUAGCCCAGAGAAAUUUGGAUUAAUACCCCGUAACAUAAUGAAAAGGCAUCUUUUUGUUAUUAUAGCAGCAAUGCGCUUGAAGAUGGGUGUGCGGCUGAUUAGAUAGUUGGCGGGGUAACGGCCCACCAAGUCUGCGAUCAGUAACUGGUGUGAGAGCACGACCAGUCACACGGGCACUGAGACACGGGCCCGACUCCUACGGGAGGCAGCAGUAAGGAAUAUUGGACAAUGGGCGAAAGCCUGAUCCAGCCAUGCCGCGUGAAGGAUUAAGGUCCUCUGGAUUGUAAACUUCUUUUAUAUGGGACGAAAAAAGGCAAUUCUUUGUCACUUGACGGUACCAUAUGAAUAAGCACCGGCUAACUCCGUGCCAGCAGCCGCCGUAAUAC
rnacentral:rRNA from 1 species